rfam:Scleropages formosus scaffold15132, whole genome shotgun sequence.
GUGGGCUACGGCGACAUGUACCCCGUGACCAUAGGGGGCAAGGUCGUGGGGUCGCUCUGUGCCAUCGCCGGGGUGCUGACGAUCGCUCUGCCAGUCCCCGUGAUCGUCUCCAAU